rnacentral:ncRNA from 1 species
AUCAAGUCGUGUUAGAUUAUUUUAGAAAGCAAUAUGUCAACACUAAUGACAUAUACAAAGCAAUUUCCGGGUUUCAAUGAGUAGGAGGAUGUGAGGGUCAUUGAGAAACCUUGGGUGUGAGCUUGGGUGGACUGGCCCACAAUGGAGAUCUUGGCGGUAGUAGAAUAUAUUCAAAUGAGAACUUUGAACACUGAAGUGGGAAAAGGUUCCAUGUGAACAACAUUUGGACACGGGUUAGUCAAUUCUAAGAGAUGGAGAAACCCUAUAUCAAUGGUGUUGUCUACAUGAACAUCGAAAGGGAAUCAUGUUAAUAUUACCAUACCUGGACAUGAUGGUGGAUGGCAAUGUUAGGAAAUUUGAAGAUGUUGUUGGGGUCCUUGGGAAGAGUUGACUUUUCUUUUUAACAAGUUUCCCACCAUGAAAUUGGUUCAACUGGAGAUAGGGUCUAACAGUUGGAAGAACAUCAGAUGUCUUGUAGUGUCCAGUGCGUCCUCAACGACCCUUGAAAAUAUGGAGAAUCGAGUGUCAUCCAUUAUUUAUUGUACUCAUAACUACAUCAAGUCUCAAAGGCGACCAACCUCUAGUC